UUUGGGUUUCUUUAUAGCACAUUAAAUAACAAGGUCAAGCAGUACAUCUGAUGACUACUGUAAUUUCAAAGUGAUGAUGAACGAAAACAAUUAUUUUAAGGGAUCUGUGACAAGUGUAUCGAAAUAUCUUUGUAUUCCAUUGUCCAAAUACUUAUACAAAGUCCAAGUACUGCUAAUGCUAUUGUGGUCUGCUGUCUAUAUUCAUAAUAGAAGGAAAUUCAACAUUUGCAGUUAGAGGAUAGAAAAAAUUGAGACAUAAGCUUUUCCCAUCCAAGUUCAUGGACUCCCUGGAAUUCUAUCCACAGCCCCCUCCAGGAGGUUCCUGUUCUGAAAUGUUAAUUGAACAAUAAAGCUUCUACUGGUUUUUAUCACAUUUGAAAUAAUUCAACUCCUUGCCCUGACCCUGCAUGACCCCGCCUUCCUUGUCUCUCACAACUCUCACUCCCUAACUCUAAGCCAGUCACACUAGUGUCCUUCCUGUUACUGAACCCAGAAGAGGUCCCCACCUCAGGGCCUUUGCACAUGCUGUCCACCCCCCCCGCCCCCGCCGUUCUUGAUCUGCACAUGACUGGCCUCUCUUCAUCAUUCAAGUCUCUGUAAAAUGCCCCCUCCUGAGAGAAACCUCCCUUCUCUACCUGCUUUGAUGAGUCUUCCUCUCCUCAAUGUCUAUUACAUCAUACUCUUUUCCUUCCUUUAUAGCAAUUAUCAGCUAUGAGCAGGCACCAGCUUGGAGAGGGCACAGACUUGUCUGCCUUAUUCCUCACUGUAUUCUCCAUGCAAAAAGGCGCUCGGGCAUAGUGGAUGUUCACUAAACAUUUGCUGACUGAAGAAAUUACAGAAUGGGAAAAAGAGAGAAGAUUCUGGGUGCUGUGCUGUCUCAGGACUGGGGUUAGCCAGUAGGAGGCCCCAUUUCUCCACAAUCUACAGGCAGCGAGCAAUCUGAAGCCACUUGGGGGCGUGUUACGACCAAGUCAAGCUGGUAGAGAGAUUAGAGGAAGUGGAGAGAACUGGGGAAGGGCCCCUGGCCAAGAUACUUAGUGGCUCUGUCCCUAACCUGUGAGAAAAACUAGCACACCCCGCCAACGCUGAAAAGGGAAGAGAUGGUUUCUUGGGUUUCUUGUUCAUCACUGCGUUCUGAUCACCUCCACCCUAGUACAGGCACCCAGCAGGCCAUCAGUGAAUUUCCAAUGAGUGAAUGAGUAAAACCUAGGACAGACCGGUGGAGUCUCAGAGCAGACUGGCUGCGUUUUGACGCACUGAGAUCUUGGCCACAGUUGGGCAGAAAGACUGACAGUUUACGUGACUCACGGGUGAACUGGAGGGUAAUUGUCCAUUUUCCCGUUUGGACUCAAUUCCACCUGGGGGUGGAGGGAGGUGGAGAGAAAGCCUUUAAAAGGAACUGGGCCGCAUGGGCCCAGGUGCAGCGCCUCACUCCAGCGCACAGGGCAGACUCCCCAUCCCCCAACUGCAGGCCCCCACACAUGCUCUGGCAGCCACCCAGCCUGGGAUGGUGUCUGCGUUUCACUCAGCAGUCACCCCUGGGAUGGCAAACCAUGACCAGUUCUGGACACCCCAUUCCAAGACAUGGACAGCUGUCAAGUCCAUAGCAGGGAGGACAGGAAAGGGGUGUCUGGGGACCACGUAAACUACAUUAUCAUCAGUCGUGUUCAGCAUGAGGAUGGGCUUCCCGACCCUCUGAGCCGUGUCAGGGCACCCGGUGGUGGAGUGGGCUGCGUGGGAAGGCAGAGAACACCUGUCCUGGGAGCCACUGGGGAGAAACUGCACCCUCACUUGCCCGGAACUGUGCAGCGGGAGCUCCCACAUCGGGUGGGAGGGAAGUCAGAGGGGUGCAAGGGUCCCUGCCGGCUGGGAACCUGGGGGUUCUGAGUCUCAGCCCUGUUGCCUGCUUCUAGCUGUGUGACUCGGGGGAAGCCAGCUCUUUCUUCUGGGCCUCGGCCUCCUUAACUAUAUAGGGGGACAGUGCACAGGGCUGGAAACCUGACUGUCCUUCACACACUGUGGGACCCUGGGCACCCCUUCCCCUGUUUAAGUCUCAGUUACCCCACGGGGCUCUUAAAGGAAUUCAGUGUGACAAUGCACAUAGCGUGUUUAGCCCGAUCUCUGUUCACUGAAGUGGGCCUGCAUAAAUGGUAGUCAUUAUUACUGAGUCACACCUUUCUCAGGGCCUCGGUUUUCUCAUCUACAAAAUGGGGUUAAUAAUGUCUAACUGUUUACAGGAUUUCUCUGAGGCCCGAGUAAUAUUAGCAUCUGCAAGGUGUCUGGGAAAUCACAACACGCUCCCCGAGCACAAGCGUUUGCUAGCCCUGCACCCCCAUGUCACUCCCCCCACGUCACCCCACCGGAUCAUGAACUCUCAAGGGCAGGAAACCCCAUCCUCUGCCCGGCAGCUGUGAGCUGUUCACACCCAGCCUCUCCACCGAGCUUCAGCUUCAGAUGUCCGUCUGCCUAUCUGAUGUCUCCACUUGGAUGAUUAAUAGACUCUUUAUACACUGCUGUGUCCAAAAGGAAACUCCCGGUUCCCUACUCCAGCCCUCCAAAUCACACUGUGCCUCCCCAGUCUUCCCCAACUCAGGAAGCUCCCUCACCACCAUCUGAUUGCUGAAGCCCAAAUCCUAGGAGUCAUCCUUCAUCUAUCCUAUCCGUAUAAAAUAGCAUCCCAGACCCCCAUCAUCACCCUCAUCUCCCACCUGCAUCGCUGCAAGGAUUUCCCACUGGGCCCCUCGCUUCUACUCUGGUCCCUCACAGUCCAUUCUCCCCGUGGCAGCCAGAGAGAGCUGUGGAAAGGGUCAGUGGGGUCAUGCCACCCACCUGCUUAAAACCCCCAACAGCUUCCCGUCAAUGUUUCCCUGGUAAACAUUCCAAACUCCUUGAUCUGCCCUACAAGGCCCUGCAAAACCUGGUCCCGCCUGCCUCCCCCUCACCUCUUAACUUGUCCUCCACUCACUUGUUCUGCUCUAGACAUACCACUUUCCUCUGUGCCCUGAUGUCAAGCUGCUUUCCACCUCAGGACCUUUGCACUUGCUGUUGCCUUUUCCUAAGUUCUCCCUAUGGCUUCUUCAUGACUGACUCAUUCAGACCUCAGCUUUCAAAGGCCACCCUGUCAGUGAAACUUUCCCUGGCCACCCCAUUAAGAGUGGCCUCCUCCCUCUCUGACACCAGCCCACUUCAUUUUCUUUAGUACGCUUCCUCUAAAAUGGUCUUGUUUUGCUCAUUUGUUUACCUGUUUACUCUCUGCUCCCUACUAGAACAUGAGGUCCUCAAGGGCAGCCACUGCUGCCUUGUUCACAGCUGUCCCCUUGGGGCCACAAACGGGCACCUGGCAUACACAAGGUGCUUAAUAAGUGCUGGAUGAAUGCGUGAAUGACUCUGUCAUUCCAGGCACUUCCCUAUAGGAAGCCCUAAAGUUUGGGGGGAAGGGAUAUGGACACAGGUGGCCUGUCUCUAGUGUGGGAUUCUCUGUGUGCCCCCGUCCCCCAAAGGUUGGCCCUGCCACGUGGAGCCCAGGAAGUCCCAGAGAUUGGGGCGGGACACCAAAAAGCUGAGACCCAUCUGACGGGGAGAAGAAACACCUACAUGCACAUUGUGUGUUACAUCCCGUGCUGCGUCCUGUUAAAAUUCCAGGAUAGGUGAGCAACAGCAGACCCCAACCAGUUGUGGAGUGACUACGCCUCGGCCCAGCUCCUGGCCGCCAGGGGCCUGUGGGUACACAGACGACACGCCUCCAGGUUUGGCUGCCCUGGCACCUGCUGCCCCUUCUCCAAGCCUCAGGAGCCAUCUCUUCCUCUUGGGGACUGGCCCUCCCCCAUUCUCAGGUCACAUGGCCCAAGUGGGCUGACCCUACCUUCUUGGGGGGCAGUGGUUGAGGACACUAACUCAACCCUGGUCGGUGGGAACAAGUCUAAAAGUGCCGGCACCCAUUUUGUCUGCCUCAGAAUGAAAAAAGGGACAGAGUUUGGGGCUGGGCCUCUUCAGUGAUCUGAGCCAAAUAUCCCCUUCUACGUCUUCAGCCACCUGGAGGGGAGUCUGGUCUAGCUGACACCCCUCCUAGCUCAUCCUGCGCUGUCUUCCACUGCUGGCCCCCCACCCCCGCCUCCCGGAGCCCCCCCUACUCUCUCAUUUUACCUUCCAUGCCUGAAACAGCUUUCUCCACUCCGUAUACCUGGUAAACUCCUACUUGUCCGGGCUCAGGUCAGGCACCACCUCCUCCAAGAAGCCUUCUCUGAUUCCUUCAGGCACAGGUCACCUGUCUUUUCCCACACUCCCACCACACCCAGUAGGUUUCUCUGGGAAACCUUUGUUCAGUAGGGCCUGCCAGCCUAAAAGAUCUUGUCAAGCUUUAUUUGCCAUAGUCAUAUUAUGAAAAUAGGGAUUUUUUUUUCCCUUCCAAAUACAAAACGAUGUUUUAACAAUUAAUGUAAAUUUUCCAUCAAUGUCUACCCCUACCCCAUACAGUCUGAAUUACUCCCCUGGAGAGAUGUCUUCCCUACCCUUGAUUGAAAAGCUGCAGCAAAACACCCCUCAUUGAUUCAGUAAACAUCCAGGUGGCCCCUUUGGUGGAAAGCAUCAUGCUGAGCGUUGGACACACAAAUUAUAAAAGUGUGUUAUAAUUGUCCCUUUCUCUGUAUUAGCUAGGAAAAUGCAGGGAAGAUUCCUGCCAAACUGUUUAACUGACACUACUUUGGAAGCUGGUGGCACAGGGACAGAUGGGGGACUUUCCCUUAGUACAUUAUGUAAUUUUAAAGUGAUAGGGUUAGGGGUGUUUUUUACUUUCUUAGUAUUUUUCAAGUAAAACAUUUCUUAGUGGUUCAUUGGUGUGUGUUUCCCUACAAGACUGGGAGCCUUUAGGGGGCAAGGAAGGGUCUGAGUCACUUCUAAGUCUUUAGCUUCCCGCCAGGGCCUGACACACAGGGGGCUAGGAAAUGUCUGUGAAAUGACCACAGGACAGAGCUGAGCAGUCAUGGGAAGUAGAAUUGGCAGGCCCAAGAGACAUAGACUGAGGAGAGGGGUCAAGCCCAGGGGUGGAAUGGCCGUGGAUGCAGGGAGGCAGUAACACAGGAGGAAUGUGGUACCCACGUUCCAGGUUGUUCCUGGUCAGCAUGGUGCCUGGAACUGGGGAUAAACAUUCGUCUGUUAGGGAAAUGAGGUCACAGGGUGACAGAACUCCCAGAAAACAAACUCUUGGUCCUGGCUUUGCAAUUGCAGACAACAGGACUGAGCAGAUCAGAGCUGGGGAGGGAGGAGCCAGAGGAAGGGGCUGGCAGGACAGUUAGAGGAGGCGUCCUUGAGAAUCAGAGACUGGGCGGAACAGCAGGUGGCAGAGGACUAGCCUGCUACAGCCUGGGUCGCUGGGUCCUUGGGUCUCAGGGAACUUGGGGGAGGUGGUUCUAGGAGUUUACGAACAGAAGGAAUGCCUCCUGCUCCCAAGGGGGAAUGGCUUGGCCGGUUUGCACUGGGUGGCUCUCUCCCUCCCCCUCCCUGUGGCCUUUGUUCCUUCCACAGAUAUUUCCUCAGGCAUCUUCAGACACAGCACUGGUGAUUAGGGCCAGAAGGAGGGGAAAGGGCUGGGGACUCCCAGAGGGGGCAGGAGGCAGGAGGCAGGAGGCAGAUUAUAAACCAGCUGGAGGGAGGGAAGUCAUGGAGAACUUCCUGGAGGUGUGGACUCCCAAGCUGAGGCUUAAAGGCUGAAGAGGAGCUGUCCAGGUAAAGGGAGGGAGCCGACUUCCAGGUAGAAAGGAGAACAGAGCAGGGGCACUGAUACUUGGGACCUAGUGAGGAGCCCCGAGCCUUGGUGUUGCUCCGUGAAGAACUAACUGCAUGUGCUGUGAGGCGUCCUCCUGCUGCUGGGGUCUCUGGUGGCCAGAGCGGGAAAGCUGGGGACAAUAGCUAAAGGCAGCGGCCCCGGGUCCUAUGGUUAGAGCCCUGGACUCCCAGGCCCGGCUGCAGGGCUAUCCUGCCCCUUGUGCUCACCGGGUGACCUCGGCCAGGAUGAGGAUUUGUGGAUUCAAGGAGGUCACCGUUAGUACAGCACCUGCCAGACUCUAGUUACAGUCACCAUGGCGAGCCAGCCAUUGUGAGGCUAAGUUUGGAAGAGCCGUCACGGGGCAGCGGGCACAGAUUGCUGUGUGUGUCUCUACAGAACCAGGCCCGGAGGCAGGAAGCCCUAAGAAGGCAGAUACCAGCUCAGCGUUAAGGACGGUCUCACAUGGAAGCGUUGAUGUAAUCAAGGUAAAUGAGGUCAUUAGGGUGGGCCCUAAUCCAGUGAUCGGUGGGAAGUGUGAACACAGAGACAGACGUGCACAGAGAGAAGGUGGCCAUAUGACCAUGGAGGCAGAGAUUGGAGCGAUCCAGCUACGAGAACACCAAGGAUUUCUGGUACUUCCAGAAGCUAGAGGAAACAAAGAGGGGUUCUCCCUAGAGCCACCCAGUUUGUGGGGCUUUGUCAUGACAGCCCCAGGAAACAAAUACAGCCACUAACUCAUGA